GAUGAGGUUGUAAAUAGUCACUGGUUAAUUCUUGUUCAUAUUCAUAGAUAUAGAUACACCAGAAUCAACAAAUUUGACAUCAACUGAAUUUAAUAGAAAAUCAGCCUGUCUUGCUAUCAACUGUGGUACUGUCGAAACGUUUUCCAUAUCUUCUGGUUGUUCUGAGUCAUAUUCCGGAGUCUGUGAAGAUAAAGGAUAUCUAGGUUGUUUUGAAGAUCAGUGGUCGAGAACCUUGAAAGAUGGGCCUAUAACAUCGGAUAAGACGACUGUAACAGAGUGUAAAAACAUUUGCUCAGAAAAGAAAACAAAAUAUUAUGGUGUUGAGAAUUCAAACGAAUGUUUUUGUGGAAACAACAUUACAUCAAGAGUAGAAAAGCCUGAAGGCGAAUGCAACAUGCAAUGCCGUGGAGAUGUUCGUCAAACUUGUGGUGGAUCAUGGGGAAUCAAUAUCUACAGAAAUCCGUACUACAUAAUAGGUUCCUGUACAAGUAUUUUUAUAAAGUAUAGGCCAAUAGACCGCAAAGAGUUUU